rnacentral:lncRNA from 1 species
CCGCUCUGCUGCCGGGUUCCUUGCUACUGUGUUGCCAGCUUGCCACGGGAGCUCAGUACGUUUAUUGGUUGCCUGACAGGGAGUAGGAAAUGUGUUUUCUGCCUUCAUCAUCUUGCCAAGAAGGAGUCAUGGAGCCUUUCAGGUUUUGAGAUGUCUGGGAAGACUGGCAGAGUGAACAAGCCCUUCAUCAGGACUGAGUCAGCCAUACUGCAAAGAUCAGCCAACAGCCAGCAUCCUUUGGCGAUUUACCCCUGACUCUGA